GCGGGAAUAGCUCAGUUGGUUAGAGCGUCAGUUUUCCAAACUGAAGGUCGCGGGUUCGAGACCCGUUUCCCGCUCCA
rnacentral:tRNA from 1 species